rnacentral:rRNA from 1 species
AACAAACGCUGGCGGCGUGCCUAACACAUGCAAGUCGUACGAGAAAGUCGGCUUCGGCCGAUGAGUACAGUGGCGCACGGGUGAGUAACGCGUGGGUCAUCUGCCCCCCGGUCAGGAAUAACCCGCCGAAAGGCGGGCUAAUACCCGAUAACACUGACGCUCUGCGGAGUGUCUUUCAAAGAAGGCCUCUGUUUACAAGCUUUCGCCGGAGGAUGAGCCCGCGUACCAUUAGCUAGUUGGCAGGGUAAUGGCCUACCAAGGCAACGAUGGUUAGCUGGUCUGAGAGGAUGGCCAGCCACACUGGAACUGAGACACGGUCCAGACUCCUACGGGAGGCAGCAGUGAGGAAUCUUGCGCAAUGGGGGAAACCCUGACGCAGCAACGCCGCGUGAGUGAAGAAGGCCUUCGGGUCGUAAAGCUCUGUCAGAUGGGAAGAAAUGGAUGGGGGCUAAUAUCGUCCAUCCUUGACGGUACCAUCAGAGGAAGCACCGGCUAACUCCGUGCCAGCCGCCGCCGUAA